UACGAGGGGUGCAAGCGUUACUCGGAAUUACUGGGCGUAAAGCGUGCGUAGGCGGUUUGUUAAGUCUGUCGUGAAAGCCCCGGGCUCAACCUGGGAAUGGCGAUGGAAACUGGCGAGCUAGAGUACGGUAGAGGAGAGUGGAAUUCCCGGUGUAGCAGUGAAAUGCGUAGAGAUCGGGAGGAACAUCAGUUGCGAAGGCGGCUCUCUGGACCAGUACUGACGCUGAGGCACGAAAGCGUGGGGAGCAAACAGG
rnacentral:rRNA from 1 species